rnacentral:rRNA from 1 species
AUUGAACGCUGGCGGCAGGCCUAACACAUGCAAGUCGAACGGUAACAGGAAGCAGCUUGCUGCUUUGCUGACGAGUGGCGGACGGGUGAGUAAUGUCUGGGAAACUGCCUGAUGGAGGGGGAUAACUACUGGAAACGGUAGCUAAUACCGCAUAACGUCGCAAGACCAAAGAGGGGGACCUUCGGGCCUCUUGCCAUCGGAUGUGCCCAGAUGGGUUUAGCUAGUAGGUGGGGUAACGGCUCACCUAGGCGACGAUCCCUAGCUGGUCUGAGAGGAUGACCAGCCACACUGGAACUGAGACACGGUCCAGACUCCUACGGGAGGCAGCAGUGGGGAAUAUUGCACAAUGGGCGCAAGCCUGAUGCAGCCAUGCCGCGUGUAUGAAGAAGGCCUUCGGGUUGUAAAGUACUUUCAGCGGGGAGGAAGGGAGUAAAGUUAAUACCUUUGCUCAUUGACGUUACCCGCAGAAGAAGCACCGGCUAACUCCGUG